GGCGGAUGUAGCCAAGUGGAUCAAGGCAGUGGAUUGUGAAGCCACCAUGCGCGGGUUCAAUUCCCGUCGUUCGCC
rnacentral:tRNA from 1 species